UACGGGGGGAGCAAGCGUUGUUCGGAUUUACUGGGCGUAAAGGGCGCGUAGGCGGUCGUGACAAGUCACUUGUGAAAUCUCCGGGCUUAACUCGGAACGGUCAAGUGAUACUGUCGGACUAGAGUACAGAAGGGGCAACUGGAAUUCUCGGUGUAGCGGUGAAAUGCGUAGAUAUCGAGAGGAACACCUGCGGCAAAGGCGGGUUGCUGGGCUGAUACUGACGCUGAGGCGCGAAAGCCAGGGGAGCGAACGGG
rnacentral:rRNA from 1 species